rnacentral:rRNA from 1 species
GAUGAACGCUGGCGGCGUGCCUAAUACAUGCAAGUCGAGCGAACAGACGAGGAGCUUGCUCCUCUGACGUUAGCGGCGGACGGGUGAGUAACACGCGGAUAACCUACCUAUAAGACUGGGAUAACUUCGGGAAACCGGAGCUAAUACCGGAUAAUAUAUUGAACCGCAUGGCUCAAUAGUGAAAGACGGUUUUGCUGUCACUUAUAGAUGGAUCCGCGCCGCAUUAGCUAGUUGGUAAGGUAACGGCUUACCAAGGCAACGAUGCGUAGCCGACCUGAGAGGGUGAUCGGCCACACUGGAACUGAGACACGGUCCAGACUCCUACGGGAGGCAGCAGUAGGGAAUCUUCCGCAAUGGGCGAAAGCCUGACGGAGCAACGCCGCGUGAGUGAUGAAGGUCUUCGGAUCGUAAAACUCUGUUAUUAGGGAAGAACAAAUGUGUAAGUAACUAUGCACGUCUUGACGGUACCUAAUCAGAAAGCCACGGCUAACUACGUG